CGCAGAGGAGGGAAGGCGGAUCGAUCCAUGGGAUCCUGGUUCUCCUCCCCUAACGGUGCCGGCGCUGGCUCCGGCCGUCUUCGUUAUGUUCGUAGAGCCGCCGUCUCAAAACAGUUUGCAGCUCGCCUUCAACAACUCAAGGACAGCGGACGUCUUGUUGACCCGAACACCCAAGAAGGAGAGGACGCCUACUGCAUUCGUGAACUCGCCGACUCGGCCCUCCGACAUUACAACUCCAACCACGCGGGUCCUGAGUUCCGGCUUCCUGAUCGGCCCACCGCAGGCUGCAUUAGUUUCACGUCUCUUGAUCUGCCGACCACAGAUUUGAAGGCCGCCUGUGUUGGUUUUAGGGAAGACCUCUGGUACCAUAUCAACUUCUCGGCUCGCCAGACAGACGAUGAUGAGCACAUCUUCUUCGCCGAGCUACGCUACGGCCGGUGCUCUAACCAACAAACCGUCGAGACAUGCACCAUCCUAGAAGAGCCGUUGGACCGUUUGACAAGCAGCUGCGCAUUGUGUCCCAGUGAAUCCAAGAUUUUGCACCCAAAUGCCGUACAACUCGGAUGUGGAAAGGAGGGGCAGGAAAAGGAAUUUUUCCGCAAGAGGCGUGUAUGGAAUGGGUACACAAAAGAACUUUUCAGCAAGAGCAAUAUGCUACAGACCCCCUUCUUGAUAGGA
rnacentral:rRNA from 1 species